rnacentral:rRNA from 1 species
GGAUUCCCCUAGUAACUGCGAGUGAAGCGGGAAAAGCUCAAAUUUAAAAUCUGGCAGUCUUUGGCUGUCCGAGUUGUAGUCUGGAGAAGCGUUUUCCGCGCUGGACCGUGUACAAGUCUCCUGGAACGGAGCGUCAUAGAGGGUGAGAAUCCCGUCUUUGACACGGACUACCAGUGCUUUGUGAUGCGCUCUCAAAGAGUCGAGUUGUUUGGGAAUGCAGCUCAAAAUGGGUGGUAAACUCCAUCUAAAGCUAAAUAUUGGCGAGAGACCGAUAGCGAACAAGUACCGUGAGGGAAAGAUGAAAAGCACUUUGGAAAGAGAGUUAAACAGUACGUGAAAUUGCUGAAAGGGAAACGCUUGAAGUCAGUCGCGUCUACUAGAACUCAGCCUGGCCUCGGCUUGGUGCAUUUUCUAGUGGACGGGCCAGCAUCACUUUUGGUUGCGGGAUAAAGGUCGCAGAAAUGUGGCACCUUCGGGUGUGUUAUAGUCUGUGGCUGUAUACCGUGGCUGGGAGUGAGGAACUCAGCACGCGCAAGCGGUGCUUAGGAUGCUGGCGUAAUGGCUUUAAACGACCCGUCUUGAAACACGGACCAAGGAGUCUAACAUGCCUGCGAGUGUUUGGGUGGAAAACCCGAGCGCGCAAUGAAAGUGAUAGUUGGGACCUCUGUCGUGGAGGGCACCGACGCCCGGACCAGACCUUCUGUGACGGAUCCGCGGUAGAGCAUGUAUGUUGGGACCCGAAAGAUGGUGAACUAUGCCUGAAUAGGGUGAAGCCAGAGGAAACUCUGGUGGAGGCUCGUAGCGAUUCUGACGUGCAAAUCGAUCGUCAAAUUUGGGUAUAGGGGCGAAAGACUAAUCG